AACGCACCUUGCACCCUUUGGUAUUCCGAAGGGUAUGCCCGUUUGAGUGUCAUUGUAAACUUCAUACUCCUGAUUGGGAGUGGUGGACUCUGGGUCCUGUCGUGUAACGACUGGCCUGAAAUACAAGAGUGGAGACUAUGGAGUAUCUGACCAGGAGUUUCAAUAAUUCAUUUGUCAGUGCGACGACAUGGAGUCAUCCCUAGUCACUGUAUAGUUCUUCCUCUAAUUGACACCCAGUAGAGACAGUUAGGUGAACUCUACUCGCUGUACCUUGACAAUUUGACCUCAAAUCGGGUGGGACUACCCGCUGAACUUAA
rnacentral:misc_RNA from 1 species